GAAGACAGUCAUGAGAAAUCCACUGUGUGUCCCAUGACUGACGAUUUCUAGUAGUACAAUUUAAAUAAUGUUGGUUUUAUUCUUCACAAUAGUUAUUAAAUGAAGCAAACAAUGACUGAAGAAACAUGCAUUGUGAACUUAUUUAUGCAUCAUAUUCCUUCCCUCUGAUGCCUCCGAAGUGCAUUUGGACCUAUGAGCUUUUAUAAAAUACAGAGAUAGGGCACAGUGGGUAAGGGUAUUGGAUCCAGGGCCAGGAAGAGCUGAAUGCAAACCCUGCCAUAGACACUUUCUGGCUGGGUAAUCAAUCAUUGGCAAACUCUCAGACUCAGUCUCCUUAUCCAUAAUAUGGGUAUAGCAAUAGCAUCUACUUCCCAAGGUUAUUGUGAAGAUGAAAUGCAAAGUGCUGUGCAAACUUUGAAGUGAUACAUGAAUGGAAUUCAUCAUCAUCAUCAUCAUCAUCAUUGUGUAAAGAUUAAAUUUAACUCUCCCUGAUUGUAAAAAUUAAAUUAACUCUCUUGCCAAUUUUUAGAUUUAAUCACCAAAAGUGUAAGCACCCUACUUAAAAGUUGAGUGGGGAGAUCUGUCCAUUUUUAGAUUUAAUCAGCAAAGGUGUAAACACCCCAUUCACACUUGAGUGGGGGAGGUCUGUGACCCAUGUGUGUAAUAAUGGGUGAUGGAUCAGAAUUAAACUGACUGCCCCGGGCAGUCCUAAAGCAAAGCUUCAACUGUGAUUUGUAGAGGCAAAAUUAAGGGAAGGCACAGGAAGUGAUGCAAAAGAAAGGUCUUUAAAAGGGAGUUACAACUUCCUGUGAUACAGUUCUUCAUCUUUUAGAGUUGAGAGUGGAGAAGAAUCUGCUGGCUGGACCUGAGACCCUGUUCCUGAUGAGACUGUUCAUAAAUCUCUUCCUUUGGACUGACACAUGAUCAAAGAGCCAGAUCUGGGAGGAGCUUGGAGAUCAUUAGUCCUGACUUUACAGAGAGGAUUUGCAUUUUACUCACCCAGGGUCACACGAGCAUCAAAGUGUCACACUCGAUUCAAUUCAACUCGAUUCAACGGAAUACCCAUGUAUUGCAUUCCAUUCCAUUCCCUGAAUGUCAGUUCGCUUAAAUUUUGAUUAACUUCAGCUCAGUCCCUACCCAGCAAAUCAAGUAGGUUUAAUAGUUGACCCAUCCAUUCCAUUCCAUUCCAUUCCAUUCCAUUCCAUUCCAUUCCAUUCCAUUCCAUUCCAUUCCAUUCC
rnacentral:lncRNA from 1 species